UCGAACAAGCAGGGGGAAACAAGGGUGAAACCCUUGUUUACUAAAUUCAAUCAAUUGGAUAGGAGAUUUGAUGAUAAUCAACUGCAUGAACUCGAAUUUACACUCAUCUAAACUCGAUUAUUGAAGUGGCGUGAAAGAAGAAGGUUCCAACACUAGGAAAUCGGAAAGUUCACAAGAUCGAGGUAAAUCCUCACUUUAGACGACUUGGCAAUUUGGAGCGAGCUCAUGCACACGUUAUGACCAUCAAGCGCUUUCUCGUUAUUCUGUAUUAAUGUUUUGGGUCAAAAUGCUCGUUUUGUGUAACUUGUUAGUCGUUGCACUUUUUAACACUUGAUGUUAUGGUUUUUAGUCGUGUCUAGUCAAACGGGUUGUAGACUUAUUUGUUUUGAUGAUGGUUAAAACAGGGAUAUGCUCGUCUUAUGGACGGGUCAUGCCCAAAUUUUGUUAAAAUCGUGCAUA